rnacentral:rRNA from 1 species
ACGCUCGACACCUACGGGGGCAGCAGUGGGGAAUAUUGCACAAUGGGGGAAACCCUGAUGCAACGACGCCGCGUGAAGGAAGAAGUAUCUCGGUAUGUAAACUUCUAUCAGCAGGGAAGAAAGUGACGGUACCUGACUAAGAAGCCCCGGCUAACUACGUGCCAACAGCCGCGGUAAUCUGAGCGGGCUGGCAAGGC